UACAGAGGUCUCAAGCGUUGUUCGGAUUCAUUGGGCGUAAAGGGUGCGUAGGCGGCGCGGUAAGUCGGGUGUGAAAUCUCGGGAGCUUUAACUCCGAAAACUGCAUUCGAUACUGCCGUGCUUGAGGACUGGAGAGGAGACUGGAAUUUACGGUGUAGCGGUGAAAUGCGUAGAUAUCGUAAGGAAGACCAGUGGCGAAGGCGGGUCUCUGGACAGUUCCUGACGCUGAGGCACGAAGGUCAGGGGGAGCAAACGGG
rnacentral:rRNA from 1 species